rnacentral:rRNA from 1 species
GAUCAUGGCUCAGGACGAACGCUGGCGGCGUGCCUAAUACAUGCAAGUAGAACGCUGAAGGAGGAGCUUGCUUCUCCGGAUGAGUCACGAACGGGUGAGUAACGCGUAGGUAACCUGCCUGGUAGCGGGGGAUAACUGUUGGAAACGAUAGCUAAUACCGCAUAAUAGUAGAUGUUGCAUGACAUUUGCUUAAAAGGUGCAAUUGCAUCACUACCAGAUGG